GGGGAAUUACCACCAUCUACUGACAGUUUGGCGAGAGCUCAGACUAUAGUAAGGAGUUCAAUAAGAAGUUCUAAAAGACGUGGCUCCAUACACCUUUCUGAACUUGUCCGGAUCGGAGCCUCCACCCUGCCCAACGAAGACCCCAGCACCACCUUCAAGCUCCAUCUCAUCAGGGGACCUUUCGAUGCGCUGCACUUGAGGUUCUAUGUCACAAUUCAGGUAGAACAUGACCUUGUCAUCCUUUACCGCAAUGGCAAAACGGGUCCAGGAGUCCUUCAAAGCAGGGUGUCAGUUUGACGGCCACAUACAUGAUCUGCUGUGUGGCGUCUGUGACCGAGAAGAUUACACCGCCCUUGUCGGAUGUUGGCUUCAAGUUGAAGAUGAGGGAAAAGUCCCUGUAGAAUGGGCUCGGCAAGUGGGCACGGGCCAACUGGCCCGUGUUGGCAUCAGGGCCAAACACAUAACCAGGAGUGCUGUCAGGCCCAUAAACUCGUGUGAUCUCAUUUGGAGGAGGGUCCCCUAUCAGCUCAAGCAGAGACACACCACUGUCUUCUAGAAGAGAGGGGAAAAAAAUGGACGUCAGACCACAAAUUUCAAAACAUGUAGGGAGCAUGAAAAGGGUAGGCAGCAUCAGAGAUUAAAAUGUUAGAAUGGGUUUUAUUAAGUGUUUGGCAUUGUAGUGUGAUUGUGUCUGAUAGAACUAAGAGUAUUUUACAAGCUAAUCUUAACAUUUUCAAACUCAACAAAACUAUAUUUUUGAAGAAACAAGGGCAAAAUAAGAAG